rnacentral:lncRNA from 1 species
UCUGGCGGGCUCUUCAGCAGAUUAUGCUCAAAUUUUCGGUGGAUGAUCAUUAGGCGUUAAUCGGGUUUUUUCAGGAGCAUCCGGGUUUUUUCAGGAUCAUUAGGCGUUACCGGGAUCCUAAAAAAAAUUAAAAAAAUAAAGCAUUUUAUAAGAAAAGAGAGAGAGCGAAGUCAACAACGAACAGCCCCUCGGGCGCAAUGCGUGCCAUCCUGUUUUGAUAAUAGCAGGCAAUUUCCAUAUGUACUACUCCAUUCUCCUUUGUUUGUUCCAAUAAUUUAUCAAUCCAAGUGUAAAUAUGUAUUUUUCCCAUUUUUAUGAAAGAAUCAUUACAUACUGCAGUUGAUAGUAAAUUUAUUUUAAUUGGUAGUUCAUAUCGCAAGUGAUACUAGUUAAUACAAAAACUGUAUACUCAGCAUUUUGUGUGUUUUCAUGCUUUUUUUUUUUUUUUUUUUUUUUUUUU